rnacentral:misc_RNA from 1 species
AAGCAUCUCAUGGCUCUGCUGGGUGUUUUCAAAGUCAGUAACAGCCCAGCAACUUGGCUCAGGCAUGAGAGGCCUUGGACUUGGAGCUUUUAGUCUUGAUUGGUCUGCUGUGGCAUCUUUCUUGUUCAGCCCCCUCAUUAGCCCUUUCUUUGCCAUUGUCAAUGUUUUCCUGGGUUAUGUAUUGAUAAUCUACAUUGCCAUUCCCAUUGCUUACUGGGGACUAGACCUGUACAAUGCACACAGAUUUCCCAUAUUCUCUUCCCACUUGUUUACAGCCCAAGGCAAGAAGUAUGAUAUAACAGCUAUUGUUAAUGACAAGUUUGAGCUAGAUCUGCCAAAGUAUGAGGAGCAAGGAAGAAUUUAUUUGAGCAUGUUUUUUGCUCUUACUUAUGGGUUUGGUUUUGCAACCAUUGCGUCGACACUUACGCAUGUGGCUUUGUUCUAUGGAAGGGAGAUAUAUGAGAGAUAUCGAGCUUCUUACAAGGGCAAUGAGGAUAUCCAUACCAGAUUGAUG